AAAUCGUGGUGUGAGUAACAUUUCAGCAUGUCCUUAUACCUCUCCCACGCAUCAUACAUGCUGUCAUCAUCAAACUGCACAAAAGAAGAAAUAUCAUUACGCAUCU
rnacentral:snoRNA from 1 species